AUUGAACGCUGGCGGCAGGCCUAACACAUGCAAGUCGAGCGGCAGCGCGUCCGACCACCCUCGGGUGGUCGGAUGGCGGCGAGCGGCGGACGGGUGAGGAAUGCAUCGGAAUCUGCCUCGUUGUGGGGGAUAACGUAGGGAAACUUACGCUAAUACCGCAUACGACCUACGGGUGAAAGUGGGGGACCUUCGGGCCUCACGCGAUGAGAUGAGCCGAUGCCGGAUUAGCUAGUUGGCGGGGUAAAGGCCCACCAAGGCGACGAUCCGUAGCUGGUCUGAGAGGAUGAUCAGCCACACUGGAACUGAGACACGGUCCAGACUCCUACGGGAGGCAGCAGUGGGGAAUAUUGGGCAAUGGGGGCAACCCUGAUCCAGCCAUGCCGCGUGUGUGAAGAAGGCCU
rnacentral:rRNA from 1 species